rnacentral:lncRNA from 1 species
AUGUUACUGAAGCUGCUGUCUGUGGCUGAGGCCUUUCUCCGCACUGGGGACCACCACCACCUGCAAGCUGGGGACCACCUCUGCACUGUGGACCACCACCUGCGAGCUGGGGACCAUCUCCACACUGGGGACCACAUAGACAAAGUGUGGAACAUCUUUAGCUUGGUCCUGUGGGACAGCAUGGCAGAGGCUCUGGAGGAUCCUGGGGCUGCAGUGGAAUCAUUGUGGGAACCUAGGGAUGCUGUCCGUCUGUUACGAGACAGUGAGAGAGUGGAGACAGAGCUUCUCCAGGAGUUGGAGGAAUGCUGGGCAGACGGGGGAACUGAGAGCCUGUUACAGAGUGUUACAGUACUAGCUCAGUUGCUACGUGAUCUCCACCCUCUUCAGGACAGUCUGUGCCUCUCCCCUCCUGAAGAGGGGGCUGUGUACCCCUGCCGCUCUCGCAGACUCCAUAGAGUCACCCGUUUCCAGGGCCUGCCUGCACGGGUCAUCCGCAAAGCACUGGGACACGGAGCUCCCUCCAAACACCCAGUCCCAGCUGGUCUCCCCAUCCAGUACAGAGAUCUCUGCCUUUGCAUCACACGUCUGCUGGACAGGGUGCACCCACAAGAAAACACUACCUCCAUAGAUCUCUCCCAGGCUCCUAUUGCUACCAUCACCCAGCACAUCUGCUCAACCCUGGCCCGGCCGGCGUUCGGCCCCCAGAGCUUUGAUGCUGGGGUGAGACACAGGGUUCUGUCUGUGGUAAAGUAUGACCCGGUCAGGUGGGGCCUGCUUAACUUACAGGAGCUGCAUAAAGACACUAUGUUGGGUCUGGAGAGCUACCUGAAGCCAGGGGAGCAUCACAGCUUCCAGCUUGUCCCAGAGAAAGUACGGAUCUUCGGAGGGCCAGAGAUACGCUGGGGAGAAAGGGUCAGGGGCCCAGUCGCCAUCGACAACGGGAUAGAGGAAGUCCUCCAAUUUGUCACCUCCGAGCCAGCCUCCUUUCUUAUCAGUGUUAGCUGCCGCGGCUAUGACAGGGGCCAGUACUUUGAGGUACACGAGCCGCAGUGUGUGCGUGUGUCUGGACUGCAGGAGCAGGGGGUGGGCGAGGUGCAGGGUUUAGGGGGGACAGUGUUGGUUUUGGCAGUAGAGGGCGAGACAGUGUGGAUGAGAGAGGAGAGGCAGGGGAGGGCGUGCGGGACAGAGCUGGAGCAGGUGUCUCAGAGACACUCUGCCACACUACAGGACGGGGGCUGCUGCUUCAGGGUCACGACCCCAGGGACACGUUGCCAGGUCAAGUUCAUCUACAAGACAAGGAGGAUCUCUGCUGUGGCUGAGAGGGACUGUGAAGUUUUCUAA